rnacentral:lncRNA from 1 species
UCUAAGCUUUUAGAUAUAGGAAGAUGUGGUGUGAGUGCCAAUGAGACAACUCUCCAUACAAAUAACAAUUUAAAAAGUAAACCAUUAUAGGUUAAAGUACGGCCUUCAACACGGAGCCUUGGCUCACACUGAACAACAAGCUAUAAAGGGCCCCAAAAUUACUAGUGUAAAACCAUUCAAACGGGAAAACCAACGGUCUAAUCUAUAUAAACAAAACGAAAAACGAGAAACACGUAUAUAUUACAUAAACAAACGACAACUACUGUACAUCAGAUU